CAGUAUGUGUUCAUCUGAUGUAACAGAGUCUUUAACACAGCGAGAGGUGGAACUUGUAGAAAUGGAUCCUCCUUGCUACAAAUAAAUAAGUACUGGCCGCUGGGAGAUUCCAUUGCACUUUCGUUACAGGUAAUGUUAAAAUGGCUAUCAUUCGGUCUAAGAACCCUACCAGAGGCUGUAAGCGCACGCGUGAUGCAACCGCAACACAGGAAAAUCCUUUGAACGGGUUGGUGCAAUGGAUUGGAGUUGACGAUUCCCUCCCAACCCAUAACGUGAAUCCAGUGCUAAUAAUUCGUGGUGAGUUGCAGUGUGGAGGCCAAUGCGUCAUCUCAUGGAAAGAAUACAACAGCCCGUUGGCUGCUGCCAUGCAGUAGUAGGCUUUCUCAGACUAUGCGAAUGUUACGAUGUAUUUGCCACCAACUGCAUGCCCAACGACAAGCAAUUCUUUGUGUUUAUCAGAGCAACAAUUUUUUCAAUAGGCAAACUAACCACUACAGGUGAAAAAUUUGCUCGUUCUACGUGGU